UACAGAUUUGUGAAGGUCAUAAAUGUAAGGAUUGGUCAUAAAAUCACUUUUCCAUCAUUGCUGCAACUAUGAAUAGUCACUAAACAAGACAUCACUAAAGGAAGACUGGAAUACAUGUGUGUCAAAAAGUUCAAGAUGUAGUCAUGGCUGUGAUUUUAACCACAAUGUAAAGGUCUGAACCAUCCAAUUCACAUAGGGAACCAUAGUCCUCAUCUGAGGAAAGCUGAAAUAAGGAAGAAUGGACUUAAACUUCAGGAAGAAUAUAACCAUGGAACCAAUUGUCCAGCAAGGUGGUGGACAUUAAAAAAAGCUGGACAGCCGUAUAUUGGAGAAAUAUAAUCUGAAAACUACUGGAAUAGGAAAGAGGGA
rnacentral:lncRNA from 1 species